rnacentral:rRNA from 1 species
AGUGAACGCUGGCGGUAGGCCUAACACAUGCAAGUCGAACGGCAGCACAGUAAGAGCUUGCUCUUACGGGUGGCGAGUGGCGGACGGGUGAGGAAUACAUCGGAAUCUACUUUUUCGUGGGGGAUAACGUAGGGAAACUUACGCUAAUACCGCAUACGACCUACGGGUGAAAGCAGGGGAUCUUCGGACCUUGCGCGAUUGAAUGAGCCGAUGUCGGGUUAGCUAGUUGGCGGGGUAAAGGCCCACCAAGGCGACGAUCCGUAGCUGGUCUGAGAGGAUGAUCAGCCACACUGGAACUGAGACACGGUCCAGACUCCUACGGGAGGCAGCAGUGGGGAAUAUUGGACAAUGGGCGCAAGCCUGAUCCAGCCAUACCGCGUGGGUGAAGAAGGCCUUCGGGUUGUAAAGCCCUUUUGUUGGGAAAGAAAAGCAGCAGGUGAAUACCCCGCUGUUCUGACGGUACCCAAAGAAUAAGCACCGGCUAACUUCGUG